CUUCGGCUCUGAGCGCUUCGGUGCGCGUCCGCGGCAACCAUGGCCGGAGCCGGGAGCCUGGCUGGGGGGCUCAGAGUGGAGCUGCAAGAGCGCCUGGCCUGUCUAAGGAAACAAAGGGAAGAAGCGAAGGCUGAUGAGAAGAAAAUCAAGGAGCUGUUGAAGCGAAUAGAUGCCGAGAAGCAGAACAUCCACCGGGAGUGGAAGGC